UAUAGCCCUCGCUUUUCUGUACCGUAAGGUGGUACAGGAACAAGGACUGGGCAAGACCGGUGCCAGCCGCCGCGGUAAUACCGGCAGUCCGAGUGAUGGCCGAUAUUAUUGGGCCUAAAGCGUCCGUAGCCGGCCGGACAAGUCCGUUGGGAAAUCGACGCGCUCAACGCGUCGGCGUCCAGCGGAAACUGUCCGGCUUGGGGCCGGAAGACCUGAGGGGUACGUCCGGGGUAGGAGUGAAAUCCUGUAAUCCUGGACGGACCACCAAUGGGGAAACCACCUCAGGAAGACGGACCCGACGGUGAGGGACGAAAGCUAGGGUCUCGAACCGGAUUAGAUACCCGGGUAGUCCUAGCUGUAAACGAUGCUCGCUAGGUGUGCCGUAGGCUACGAGCCUGCGCUGCGCCCUAGGGAAGCCGAGAAGCGAGCCGCCUGGGAAGUACGUCUGCAAGGAUGAAACUUAAAGGAAUUGGCGGGGGAGCACCACAACCGGAGGAGCCUGCGGUUUAAUUGGACUCAACGCCGGACAUCUCACCGGUCCCGACAGUAGUAAUGACGGUCAGGUUGACGACCUUACCCGACGCUACUGAGAGGAGGUGCAUGGCCGCCGUCAGCUCGUACCGUGAGGCGUCCUGUUAAGUCAGGCAACGAGCGAGACCCGCACUUCUAGUUGCCAGCAAUACCCUUGAGGUAGUUGGGUACACUAGGAGGACUGCCAUUGCUAAAAUGGAGGAAGGAACGGGCAACGGUAGGUCAGUAUGCCCCGAAUGGACCGGGCAACACGCGGGCUACAAUGGCUCUGACAGUGGGAUGCAACGCCGAGAGGCGACGCUAAUCUCCAAACGGAGUCGUAGUUCGGAUUGCGGGCUGAAACCCGCCCGCAUGAAGCUGGAUU
rnacentral:rRNA from 1 species